rnacentral:rRNA from 1 species
UGGGGAAUUUUGGACAAUGGGCGAAAGCCUGAUCCAGCAAUGCCGCGUGUGUGAAGAAGGCCUUCGGGUUGUAAAGCACUUUUGUCCGGAAAGAAAUCCUUGGCUCUAAUACAGUCGGGGGAUGGCGGUACCGGAAGAAUAAGCACCGGCUAACUACGUGCCAGCAGCCGCGGUAAUACGUAGGGUGCAAGCGUUAAUCGGAAUUACUGGGCGUAAAGCGUGCGCAGGCGGUUUGCUAAGACCGAUGUGAAAUCCCCGGGCUCAACCUGGGAACUGCAUUGGUGACUGGCAGGCUAGAGUAUGGCAGAGGGGGGUAGAAUUCCACGUGUAGCAGUGAAAUGCGUAGAGAUGUGGAGGAAUACCGAUGGCGAAGGCAGCCCCCUGGGCCAAUACUGACGCUCAUGCACGAAAGCGUGGGGAGCAAACAGGAUUAGAUACCCUGGUAGUCCAGCGCCCUAAACGAUGUCAACUAGUUGUUGGGGAUUCAUUUCCUUAGUAACGUAGCUAACGCGUGAAGUUGACCGCCUGGGGAGUACGGUCGCAAGAUUAAAACUCAAAUGAAUUGAC